rnacentral:lncRNA from 7 species
AUGUAACCCUAAAAACAAAAAAACGGUUGCUACCGCUGCCGGCUCCGAUUCGGAUCGAGCGGACCCACCGACGGUCAUUAACAUUGAUCGCGAGUCUACGGCUUCAUUUCUAAGUGUAUUUUUGGGAUGGAGGGACAAUGUACAAUCUCAGGCAGUUCAGAGAAUGUUCAAUAGAGAGGAUGAAUUGGCAGCUGUGUUAAUUGUGAAGUGGAUCGAGUAGUACAGGUAACCGUGGCACCACACAGUGUCCUUUUCAAUUCAAAACGUCGAGGGUGGAGUGGGGUGGCGUGGUGUCCUGGUGGGUAAUUCAUCUUUAACAUUCCACCCCCACCGAUUUAUGGAUUCCACAUGGAGUGUGUAGUUACUAUGCUCAUGGCUGGCUCUGGCAGCGUAAUAAAUAAAAAGCGGGUAAGUUCUU